AACGAACGCUGGCGGCAGGCCUAACACAUGCAAGUCGAGCGAAGCCUUCGGGCUUAGCGGCGGACGGGUGAGUAACGCGUGGGAACGUGCCCUUUGGUACGGAAUAGCCCCGGGAAACUGGGAGUAAUACCGUAUGUGGUCGAGAGACGAAAGAUUUAUCGCCAAAGGUCGGCCCGCGUUGGAUUAGGUAGUUGGUGGGGUAAUGGCCUACCAAGCCGACGAUCCAUAGCUGGUUUGAGAGGAUGAUCAGCCACACUGGGACUGAGACACGGCCCAGACUCCUACGGGAGGCAGCAGUGGGGAAUCUUAGACAAUGGGGGAAACCCUGAUCUAGCCAUGUCGCGUGAUCGAUGAAGGCCUUAGGGUUGUAAAGAUCUUUCAGUGGGGAAGAUAAUGACUGUACCCACAGAAGAAGCCCCGGCUAACUCCGUGCCAGCCGCCGCGGUAACAC
rnacentral:rRNA from 1 species